AAGUGCUUUUCACAAAUACGCUUAUAAAAUCAAAAGUAGGCUAAAUUUCAAUGAUUUAACAGGCAACGCAGGACAAGCUGGAAAUAACCAUGUGUAGUUAACUAGUGACAAUGUUAAGAUUUAUAAAACGGACGCGUUUAAUGCUAGCUCCUUGCUGCAAUCGCAUCGGCCAUGAUCGGUGUCCAAAAAUGCCGAUUAAUCCGGUUACCAUUGUGUAGUUUGUCCAUCCAUUCCAGCAGACCUGUGACUUCACUCAACAUUCAGUUCUCUGUAGUUGUCAGUGAAGGGCAUCUGAAGAAAUGCUUAAAAAAAAAAAAAUCAAACAGCCACUGAGAUCAGCUUGAGUUUAUUUUAAUUAUCUUGAAAGCAAUACAUUUAUUCAAAUCGAACAGGGCAGGUAUGUUUAAUUAAUAUUUGUUGAGCCAAUUUCACCUAGGUCACCCAGAGUAAAGGGUUUUCACGUGAUAACCAGAAACUAAAACUGAGCUUGCUGUGAUUAACGGCAUCUAACGGCUAUAAUAGUGGCAGCUGCAUACACAAUCAGAUGGCACCCUAGUCUAGGACUGGCAACUGAACAAUCUGCUUUCUUCUAAGGUACUGCCACCUUUCAUCUUCAACAGGCCAAUCUUCAGUCGUUCUUCAGCACCUGUCCCAUCGAUCAAAUCAGGAAAUUGGUGAGAAUAAUAUAAAAAACCUGGCAACCCUUUAAAAAAAGUGACCAAGUCAUAAAACCUCAGGUUAGUUGAAUCAACUAAGUAUUGGCCCAAUGGCAAUUACCAGUCAGUAAUAAGUGGUUUUGGCAAAACAAGCUAAACUACCGAGGGAGCUUAAAUCAAGCACUCGGCCACCUGUUCAAGCACUAGAAGUUGACAUUUGUCUGCUGGUCUAAAAUGGGUCCCAAUAUCGGCGCCAUAGUCAUGCAAAGUACCCACUGUCCUGGGUCCUUGGCGUAGACGUAGCCCGGUUACUCUCCGCCCCUCAUGACACAGGCUCAACACAUAGUCGGACUGCAACACCUCAAGGGGCAGAUUUCGAUGAGACCAAUAUACAUUUAGCCAGUGUGUAACCAAAUGAGGCAGACUUACAAUGACCUGUGGCGCCAUGUCAACCCCACACUGUCAGACUCUGAAAAUAAAGAUGUAACAGGUAAGUUUGAAGAGCAACAUAUCAAGGCAACAGCAUACACAUUAAGUAGUGGGUCCAAAUACAUUGAUGCUAGUUCUUGAGUAUUGCACCAAACGUGCGUGAUUAAUAGGUUAGGACACUUUGCCCUCCUGGCGAGGGUCUGGGUACCUGAGACUGUGCCAUACCUGCUUCCCACUAAAGCGGGCAGUUAAGUCAUUGUGGGUCAGUUUAUCAUGCAAUUGGAGCCACAAGUACAUCAAGAGGUAGGAAACACCAUUAAUACAUGUGCUGAAAAACAAACCUAUUGGUGCCUACAUGGAUUCUCCAUUGAAAGAGCUUUAGUCCAUUAGUAGGUUUAAUCUAUACCGAACUAAUUUCAAAUUUUCAAAGUUAAGUCAAGGAAAAUCAGGCUAUGGUACUAAAUCCAGUAGGCCCUAAUCUAUAGAUUUCACAUGACAGGGAAUAGAUUUGUCACAGAUAAAGGCUCGUGCAACAACCAUUUACCUCAGGCAUCACAACAUCUCCUUCGCAUAGAGUUGAGCAGAUGAGGUGAGUGUGGCCUGUUCGAAGUGGAUGGAUAUUGCAGGAACACACAAUCAUACAAAGCAUCAUAAACAUGCUCUGUAUGUAAGCCAUGGAAGAAACAGGACAUUUCAGCUCACAGGAAUUUUGUACAGAUCAUUACAACAUAGGGCCAUGGAUUAGCGCUGAAACACGAGGUGAGACAGAUGGCGGCACAACAGGCCUCAGGAUCUCAUCACGGAACCUCAAAACACAAUUACAUAUUAUCGACGGCAAUUUGUAUGUAGUUGGCCAUUGCUUAUGCCUGCCCAUAUCGUAACACCACUGCCACCAUAGGGCACUCUUCGCAACUUUGACAUCAGCAAACUGCGCACCCACAACACUGGACGCUGCCUGCCAUCUACCCGGUACAGUUGAAACUGGGAUACACCUGUGAAGGGCACACUCCAACAAAGGUGAGCAUAGUCAGGUCAAGACACCCAAGUGUCCUGAGACUGUAUGACAGUCCAUGCAGAACUGAAUGUUGAGCAAACCCAGUUUCAGCUGUCCGGGUAGCGGUCUCAGAUCGUAUAGGUGAAAAUAUGGAAGUCCUGACAAAUUCUAAAAUGUUGGGAUGCUGCUUAUGGUAGAGAAAUUAAAAUCCAAAUCUGGCAACAGCUCUGGUUGACAUUCCUGCAGUCGGCAUGCUAAUUGCGCUCCCUCAACAUGAGAGAUCUGUGGCAUUGUGUUGACAAAACGGCAUAUUUUUUUCACAGCACAAGGUGUACCUGUGUAAUGAUCAUGCUGUUUAAUAAAGAAGCUUAUGUCACAUAUCAGGUGGAUGGAUCAUCUUGGCAAAGGAAAAUGCUCACUAACAGGUAUAAACAAGUUUGUGCAAAACAUUUGAGAAAUAAGGUUCUUGUGCGCAUGGAAGAUUUCUGCGAACUUUUAUUUCAGCUCAUGAAACCAACCCGUUCAUUUGCUCAGUGUAACAUUAACAAGCCUUGUGUGAAUUUGUAACUAUGUCUCUGCAGGUCUCAGAUAAUGUGGUAUAGAGGUUAUCCAUCACAAGUUCAGCGUGGUGAAUGAUUUCUCAUUAAACAUUUUCUUUUAAGACUUAAAGUUAAAAUGCCAUGGAUGUUGCUUACCGUUCUGUGCACAGCAUUCUUUCAGGGAGGAAAGGCGGCAAUCAUUCUGCUACUUCCAGGUCACAGCCGCUAGGACACCAACCAGCGGUAUACCAAUUUCGCAUUGGCAACUUCACAUCCUAAGGACAACCAGAGAAAACAGAACGCUAAAUGUAUGAUAUGAACACGUCAUUUACCAGCAUUACAUUGCAUACACUGUUGCCGCUAUGAUCACUCCAAGUACCCACUGUUCUGGGUCCUUGGCGUAGACAUAGCCCUGUCACUCUCCGCCCCUCAUGACACAGGCUCAACACGUACAGUCGGACUGCAACACCUCAAGGGGCAGAUUGCUAGGAGAACAAGACAUUUAGCCAGUGCAUAACCAAUUGAGGCAAGGACUUACCAUUGUGGAGUCACAUCAUGACCCACUAACCAGUAAGUCAGCAAGCAGUGCUGCACCACCCUUUAUCUGAAAACAACAGGAUGGUAACAGUUAAGGAAACCGAGCAAGGAAAAAAAAAAAAAAAUGCCAACAAAUAGUCAAAGUGUAGAUAUAAUAAGUAGUUAGUCCAAGUAGGUAGCUGCUAGUGCAACAGCCCUAAGUCUAGACCUCAAAGCCAGUUCCACUGAGUUGGUUUCUUCUAAAUCACUGGGACCCCAGGAGGGUACAAUUAUCAGGUAGAGCAGAACACCAGCAGGCUCCAGACCUUGAAGGGUAUCGUUUUGGUUUUUGCACCAACAACUGAUUGAAAUGAUCAAAGCUUGAUGAUUAGUUGAUUAUUUAAAUCAGCUGUGUAGUGCUUAGACAAAACCCAAAUUGCGCACCCCUUGGGUUCAACCGGACAUUUUGGGAAACCCUGCCCUAUAGAAAGUGUUCAAUAACCCUGUUCUAAAGCAUCAGUCACACCAAGAUCAAAUGUGCUCGAUUAAUAGGUCAUGUCACCGAGAGGACAGGAUAUGAUACCUUGGCAUAUCAGGCCGGUUCUAUGCCCACUGAACAGGGCAGCCGUGCCAUCAUUGGUUAGUUUGUCUGCCCGCUCAUUGUAACAGUGGCAUUGUAGACCGUUACAUCACAAAGGGCAAGAACCACCAAGAAGUAUCAUUGGUAAAACAGGUCUUCUGAGAAACAAGCCCAUUAAACUGUUAGUAGGGGCCUAUAUGGAUUCGCCAUAGAAAUAGCUUUAGCCCAGAAGUAGGCUUAAUCCAUGUCGGGGAAACCAGAACCAAGCAUUCACAACCCAGCCUUAUGAACCAGCAUUUAUUUGUAACCAUGUCUGUGCAGGUCUCAGAUAAUGUGGUAGAGGUUAUCCAUCACAAGUUCAGCGUGGUGCAUGAUUUCUCAUCACAGACCAAUUACACAUUACUUUUUUAAGACUGGACAGAGUUCCAAAUGCCACCUGGUGUAGCUUACCACUAUAUUCUUUCACGGAGAAAAGGCAGGCCUUACUGCUACGUUCAUGUGCCAUUUGCUUGGACAGUGACACCAAUAGGUCAUGGUGGCAUCUAAUCUUCCUCAUUGUACUCUUCACCUUGGAGACUAUAAAAGAGAAAACAGGACAUUAAUGAUUCUUAACACUUAAAAAGAGCAUCUCCGCCACAAAUAUAUUCACGAUCUCCAGCACUAAAACAGUCGACAUAUGUGAAAACGGCAGUUAGGUUUUAGCAGAUGACAAAAGUAAAAAGUCUGAAGACUGAUUUUCAAACACUGAUCUUCGCAGGUCAUCAUGGGGAGGAAGAAAAUAAACUCCCUCUGGUUAAAAGCUACUCACAUAUAUAAUAAACAGUUUCUUACAACUAAGCCUACCGUGAUGUUAGAAGCAUUUGGGACCUUUAUCUUUUAACCACAGAAACGUAACGAUUUCGCAUAUGUAGACACUGGUUUGGGGCUGGAGAUAAUGAAUGAGGUUGAAAUGUGGAGGAGUUGCCCUUUAG
ensembl:lncRNA